CCAAGGAGUGCGGCCUGUUUGUGAAA
rnacentral:piRNA from 1 species